GUUACGGCGGUCAUAGCGAGGCGGGAAACGCCCGGUCCCAUCCCGAACCCGGAAGCUAAGCCCCUCAGCGCCGAUGGUACUGCGACCGCGAGGUCGUGGGAGAGUAGGACACCGCCGGACCAC
rnacentral:rRNA from 1 species